GCCAGUGUGGCAUAGUGGUUCGGAUGUUGGAUUGAAAAUCUGGAGACCAGGGUUUGAUUCCAAGCUUGGCCA